UUAGGGAUCUUGCGCAAUGGACGAAAGUCUGACGCAGCGACGCCGCGUGUGUGAAGAAGGCCUUCGGGUUGUAAAGCACUGUCGAACGGGACGAAUGAGGCAGGGGGGAAAGUUCCCUGUCUGUGACGGUACCGUUAAAGGAAGCACCGGCUAACUCCGUGCCAGCAGCCGCGGUAAUACGGAGGGUGCGAGCGUUGUUCGGAUUUAUUGGGCGUAAAGCGUGUGUAGGCGGUAUUGUAAGUCUGAUGUGAAAUCCUUGAGCUCAACUCGAGAACUGCAUUGGAUACUGCUUUACUAGAGUGUCGGAGAGGGUACUGGAAUUCCAGGUGUAGAGGUGAAAUUCGUAGAUAUCUGGAAGAACACCGGUGGCGAAGGCGGGUACCUGGACGAUAACUGACGCUGAGACACGAAAGCGUGGGGAGCAAACAGG
rnacentral:rRNA from 1 species